ACAGCAUGGUCAGGGCAGGUUACUCUUGUGUGCCCAUUCCUCAUGUAAAAAGCCUGACUCUCAAGGCAUCUGCUGUAAGAAGCAAUCACUGUGUCCAGAAAAAUGAUCAAGACUUGUAAGAACUCUAAAAGCUGCAGAAAAAAAUCUGUUUUUGUCAUCAGUUGUCUCUUAAACUGUGGGUGGCAGCAGUGUCCAGGCAGAGGGAAUUUUUGGAAGCCUCUACUAGGGCCCUGACCUCAACUGAAUGUUUCUGGAGGAGGCAGUAUUAAUUGCUGCCCCAAGACUGGAAGGCUAAGCUCGCAAUAGGCAGACACAUUAGUUUGUAAAUGAAGGAUUAGCUCAGGAACUCUUGCUAAUAACCUAGUUCAGUAGCUCCAUAAUCACCACGGUGUGAUGCAAUAUGUGAAUCUGCAAAGUCAAUUUACAGAACAUUGGGAAAAUAUUGUUACCUGUUCAUGGCAAACACAAACACAAUCUGAUUUAGCCAGCCACCUGACAACUUUCACCAGACCUUUGGAAGACACCACUGGAGACACAAGUCAACAGGUUUGAACAAUGUAUGACCCACGGCAAACUCAUGGAUAGAACAAAGCUGAAGAAACCUAUCCAGAAAGGCUGAGCUGCACAAUUCUGGUAUGGCAAAGCAAGAGGUAAAAUCUGAAUUACUUAUUUUACUUUAAGAUAGAGACUUUUAGCUACAAAGUUGACAUUUUCAAAUAUCUAUCAAACCUUUAAUUCUGAUGGAAUGAUUUCAAAUACAUUUUAAUGGUCAAGGGUUUGUUUGGUUUUUUCACAUUUAUUUAGAAACACUGUUUCACUACUGAUAAAAACACAUAGUGAUCUGAAUUUGCUAAUGAAUCUUAAACAUAAACGUAAAUAUUAUUGGAAAAAGCUUCCAGUAAAAAUCUACCUGUACAGCUGCUUUCUCAUUUUAGUGGUUAUCAGGUACAUAAGAAAUGUCACACUGUUUCCAGGCUACAUUAUAAUACUGAGUCUGCUGGUAAUAGACUUUGUAAUGAUUUACUCAUUCACUCACUCACUCAUUCAUUCAUUCAUUCAUUCAUCUACUGAGAUGAAGUAGUCAUGUGGCUUGGACCUCACUUUGUUCUAGCAGCAGUAUAUAAUUAAAGAAAGUUGUUCAGCUUUCUUAGGCACCUUUUGAGAAGUCUUUCAAUUUCUGUAUUAUUUUGAGAUCUCUACCUGCAAUCUGGACUCCUGCUGAUGUUAGGAGGCAUUCGGUAUUCUGAAAGACAAUAUAAUAUAGACUGAAUUUUAUUUUGUAUAUCCUCAAAAAGUGUAAUCCUAUUACUCCCAAAGGCCAAUUUCAAAUUUUGCAUGGUUUGACCUAGAAAAUAGUGAUCUUUCUGUAUACAUAAGGAGGUUUUCUUACAUUUGUGAGGCCUAUAUAACUGUAUUUUGCAUAGAUAUGUUUACCUUUGUCUGCUAAUACAUGUCUCAUACUUUGUUUUUGACAUUAUUUUUGGCUAUGUCUGGUCAGUGCCAUGUAGGGAUUUACACAAGAGUGAAUCCCAGAUCAGCAUUGGCAUAAUUCUAUAACCAGCACAGCAUAAGUGCUAGUACAGUUAUGUGGCUUCUGAUUUGACACCUCGCUUGUGUGACAGUAGCUGGGGUAUCUUCUCACAUCCCAGCAUAGCACAGUGUAAAUAUAAACCUUUCACUGAUAUAUCUGUACCUAGGUUCAGAACAAAAACAUUACCUGAACAAUCUUAAUAAUAAUAAAAAUUAAUAAUAUAAAUAAUAAAAAUAUUGAAAAUAUCCUGUUCAGAAAACAGAUAUGAAAAUUGCAUGCCAGAAAUGAACUCACGCAAUCCUUUGGCAAGUGUGAAUGAUCUUGUUAAGUAAUCACUGCUGUUUCAUAAGGUCUCUGCCCCACUCAUUUUCUCACAAAUAGACAUCUAGGGAAUUUCAGGGGACAGAGAGUGUUCAUCGUAAUCUAAAUCUUCAGAGAAUUUUGUUGUUAGAUUUCAAGGCUCCAUCGAACUGAGAUUUUAUAAUUACACAAUACAGAUUAGAUGGGGUUGGCAGUUUAUUAGAUAGGAAAAAGUAUGCCCUUGCAAAUAUGAGGGUACUAUGCUUCGGACUCUGCUUGGAGGUAUGGCCCUUCAUUAAAGGAGUUUAAACAGUUUUUUAAAGAUAAAUAGAUAUUCUUGCAUUUUUCUCCCUUAAAAAUAAACGAAAAACAACAACAAAAAAAAUGAGCUAUAUUAGCUGAAAUUAAAAACAAACAAACAAACAAAAACACAACAUAGUCUGAGAAGAAAAUUUUCAUAGUAAUUUUGGGAAAACUAUAAAAAAAAAGAAAACCAUGGAAUCUUAUGGUAUAAAAUUUUGAGCAGUAUUACUGUGAUGAAAUCAUGACUAUUUGAUCAUAUACAGGUAGAAUUCUUGUCUUCUAAAAAUGUUAUCAUAAAUGGUUAACUACGGUAUUAAAAAGUUUGCAAGUUAUAUGUGAGGUUGUGAAGAAAUCAUCCUAGUUUCUUACACUUUCUGGUAUGUUUUGCGUAAUAAGACUUUUUGUUCCGUUAAUAGUUUUGCAGGAAGAAGUUGAUUUAUAUGGGUUUUUUUUAGUGGUUUCCUCAAAUGUUAGGCACAUCAUCAUUCCAAGUCUCCCCACUGAGUGCUUGCUUGCUAGUAUUGGAGACUUGCAACAAAACAGAGUUGCAACAACUAGAAUUUGACCUUCAAUACACAGAUGCCCAUAUCCUUUGAGAGACAUGCAUUUAAUAUAAGUUUUUGUUAUAUAUUUUUUUUUUCUUUUUCUCAGGUGGAAGCAUUUCUUUUUGCUUAUGGAAACUGUGUUUGACCUUUACAGUAGGAACUAAUGAACCUGUGCUGGCCAGGGGCCAGAGCUCUUGGUCCAGCAUGGAGGGCAGCUGCCAGGAUGGCAUCUUCCAGGCAAGGAAAUUACAUGAUCACACUGCCACCUGUUUUCAAAGAGCUACAUUGGUUGCUGGGUUGCUCGUUUGUCAGGUCACCUUGUUGUAGCACGGCCAAAUCAUGCUGGGUCCUGAGCUCACUGGCUUUCCAGCACCCUGGGUGCCUUGGGCAGAGCCUGCCUGAGGCUGGCCAAACAAUUGACACUAGAUGUAGGAAAUCUGAUGCAAUCUCUUAAGAAUAGUAACUUAAAAAUGUCAGGAACCGGUUUUUUUUUUCCUCCCUUUACAUGUAGAUGUCAGCGACGACAAAGAGAAAGAGGCCAGUGAUGCCAAGGAGAGUGUCAAGUAGUUGUACUAAAGCACAAACUGAUUUCAGCAAGCUGCACAUAGUUUCUGCUCAUACAACAGCAAUUUUUGACUGGGAUUUACUGCACGAGAUAAAAGAGAACCCUGUAUCAUGAGUGUGCUGAAACUAAACUCCCAGCACAGCUGAUGUGCAUGUCCGAUGCAUCUGGCUGGCUGGUUAGGAAUGCCUUAGAAACACAAUGCUUGGUUAGCCAAACCAACAGCAUUUCCUAUGAACUCAUCUCCAUGAGGCUGGGAACAAGCUCUGGCUUUUCUGUUCAUGUCUUGUGAUAGCUUUAUCAGAAAACCAGCUGAUGAAGAAAGAAUGGGUCCUGGUUGGUGGUUUAAAUAUUAAAACUGUCCUUCUGAUAUCAAGCAAAAAAAUCUUCUCUGAGUGGCUUUGAGAAAGUUGGUAUUUGGAGUUUAUGCUUGCUCAGAAGCAGAUGCAUCCAGAGCUGCAUGGAGCAAGGUAAAAGUAAUGUAAUAGGAAGAAAAGAUGGGUUGUGCAGUGGCUCUCCUACUUCGUAGUUUAGACCACUCAUUGCACCACACAGUUACAAAGUGGAAAAAUCUGAAGCUCUCGAGGUAAAUCUACCCUUGGUCACAUCUACAUUGGGAACAUGAGGAACUCCCCCAAAGCGCUGCACUAAUACUGCAACAAUGUGCAGUGCCGGUGGAAUGCAGCUGGUGGAACAGAAAAGCUACAGCUGUGGUGCCAGCUGCACUUCAUACUUUUUCUAACCCUGCACGAAGUUCAGCUAUCAAGAUUCUUCUUGCAAUGUCAGUAGCUGCGCCUAUUUGCAAUAUGCAUUUACAGACACUUUUUCCUUUUCUGUUUGGUCAGAGCUCAUAACCCUUCAAAUGCAGGAAGGCUUCCCCAAACUGUCAGAAAUAAGGCCACUUGACUUGAAGGGUUCCCCUCAAAUGAAACAUUUCACACUAAAGCAGAAUGAAAUAACACUGCUUGCACAUUGCUGGCUUCCCCCAUCCCCAGCACACAUACACACUUUUUGACUCAGCAACCAUGCUGAAAAAGAUCCAUUAUUUGUGUAGCUCUAGAAUUUAGAGUGAGACCCACAAAGGACUCAGGUUACAUCCAUGCGUGCACUGCGGGCAGACACAAGCAACCUCUGUCCACACUCUAAGCUCACAAAAAGCCCACGUGACUAUAGUUUAGUGAGUCACUGAACCUCAGCUAACAUGCUCUGCUGAGACGAACAAACAAAUAUUCUAACUGCAGGGUAAAACCUUUAAAAAUGUGUUUACUGCUGCCACAUUUCUUGGUAUCCAAUCAAGUGUUUAUCAGCACUAUUUUGUGGUAAUGUCUAGAAACCCCUGGCUCCUGCUGUGUUAAGUAGAAAAAAAGAAAAGAGAAAGACGCAGUUCCUACCCUUCACAGUUUGUGUUCUAGCAAAAGGUAGAAACAACCAGAAGGUAGAAGGGAUAAAAUAAGCUGUUGAAUUACUCCAGGGUCACCUUUGCUUUGAACAAAAUGGUGCCUGCCUAUCCCAUCAUCUUCCUGCAUUUUCUUUGGGAUGAUGCAAAAGGAGUCUUUUCAGGAUUUAAAUCAUACAUAAAACAUCUAUGGGACUAGGCAAAGCAGUAAGAACAACAUUCAUUUUUUGGCCUUGGUAAUUACGAUUUAUUCAUUCUUACUUUAACCUACCCUUAGUGGAACUGGAAAGUAAAAUUUAAUGCAUAUGUGCACUUCCAAAACAGUAGAGCAGAUUGUGGAAACUGCAUCAUCAAAGCUUUUCUGAAGCAGAGCUAGCCUUUCCCCUUUAUGCCUUAGUCUCUUGUUACACAUAUGUUAUGUUACAUAUUAACUGAAGUUGUGGAUGAUUAUGGAAAGCUGCUAUCCUCUGGGUCGAAAGAGUGGCUGUUUAUGGGAGAUGAUGCCUGAAGCUGCUCAUAGAGGGCAUUACCACCCAGCGAGAGCAAUUUUUUUUCCAAUCCAAUGGGUAUUCUUGUGCUUACAAGCUAAAUCCUCUUUGUAAAUAAAGUGAAUAGUGCUUUUGGAUGUAUAACUCUCAAAAACUAGAAAGGGCUGGGUAAUUCCAAAUGGGCGGUGCUCAAUACUUCCUUGAAAUGGGCCUGUUAGUGAGCUCCUUGAAAAGCCCCAGACAAUAAAAUCACAAGUCAAUUUUAAAAGUCUCCACCUAAUUGAAUGUACAUUUUAUUACAUCCUUUAAAAUAAAAGCAACAGUAAAUGAUCAUAUGCUCUGAAGUUGCUUGGAUAUUACAGGAAUAAGCCCCUGCAUACUUAUUAUCAACACUUACUUCCCCAGUGCCCUCUAAUCCUGAGCAGUCAUCUGCUUUAUUGCUCUCUUUUCAGAGCUCAUGGCAGCAUGGCACAAUCACUCCACUUGCCUUCCAGACAGCUUGAUACCAGUUGUUUUGGGAUGUUGUCAAUGAGGGAAGCAUUCCUGUGUAAUGACUUCAGGACUGAGUCUGAGGUAGAUCCUUGCUCAGAAGGAAAUCAGAGUCUUUGAUUACAUACCUAAUUCUGUCUACAGAUCUGUUAUUUAUCCCUCAAUACUGAGUAUUACAUUGGUUUUAAAAAUAAUCCCCUGGACAUAACUCUGAACAAUCUGUUCAAAGCUUUUAAAUUAGCUUUGCUUUGAGUAAGGCUGGUACUAAAUGACCUCCAGAGGUCUCUUAAAAAAAAAUAUUCAGUGACCCUGUGUUGUUAUCAUGUGGCCCAUGAACUUUUUGUAAACUUUCAGGCAUGUUUGCACAUUGUUGUGUAUAUGAAUGACAAAUCUAAAACUAAAACUAAAGCUGAUCUUUGCCAAUAAAUCUACAUGGCAUAGAGCAUCAUUUCACAGACAUACUGACUCCAGUCCCAAAGCAUUAGAAAUAUUGCUUAUGAUCCAAUCUGAUCACGCGAGGAUCCUUGAGAUCUUAUUGUACAGCUUACUAUUCAAGGCACAAUGGCCUAGAACAACUCUAGGCCUCCAAAAAGCAAGGACAAGCUGUUGCAACCAUUGCAACCAAGGUUAUCUUUUCUUCUGCACCUGUUGUCCAGUGGUGCAAAUGCCACCCUUUUUUUCAGUCUUCCCUCUGUUCAGCCUGGAGAACUCCAAGUCCCACCAAUAUUUGGUCAUGCUCUGCUUAACACAACAGGAACAAAAGGCACUUAGCACUUCACUUUUUGAUACCUCAUAGUGUUGGGCCCUGUGUUACAUCAUGUAUUACAUUACCUUAUUGUCAGGAAGCACUUAAAUUCCUGCUGAUUUCAAGGAGUGUAUAUUCGUAACCAGUAAACAGAGAUACACAAAGAGUUCGAAUAAGCAGUUCCGUUUUCCCACAACCAUGAAAAGACCUCAUAAUAUAGAUUUGUAAAGAAUCCUGUCUACAGGUAUUUACUACAGGUAUUUGAAGAUUAUUUUACACAUAAUUUACAAAGAGCUUUGUUUUACUGGAUUUUCAUAGGAAUCAAGAAACCUCACUGGAUGCGGCAUCCUGGUUUUAGCUAGGAUCACAGAGGCUAUGUCUCUAGCAGUUGACUAGCACAAAAUAUAGAAUUAAUCCCACCAAACUUUUGUCAUCCAGAAGUUAGGCGUCUCAUCUGUGUUACCCACUGAGGACUCCUUUACAGUUUGUGCAAAGAAGGUAUCUUAACUAGGCAGAAUAAAUAUUUGCCUGAAAGUAUCCAGUUCUCUCCAUUGACUACAGAGAAAGAAUUGACUGUAUGAGACAAAUAUCUGACAUUUAAUUCACUGGGAAAUCACUUAAGUUUCUAUGUGCGUUAUCUGAAUGUGCUCAAAUGAAAAAAUAUGCGAAAUAAGCUAAAGGAGAUUUGGAUAUGUGAAAGGAUUUAUUUUUCAGUUUAUUCAAAUAUUGAACUCUUUACAUUAAUCUGAGUUGAACGGCUAUACUUUUGUCAAUACACAGUGGAAAACAGCACUGCAGUUUCUGGAGUUAUUGCUAUUUUAGUAGACAGCAAGAGCUGAGCGUCCUCAAUAACACUCAAGAUAAGCCCUUUAAAGUAGUUAUUUAAGACAUAAGAUUCAGGAGGUUUCUAUGGAGAUGGCUCUUUUUGUGUAGGUGUAUCAAAAUAAGCAUUUGCAUCAAAGGAGAGUUCUGGAAAACGGUUGUUACAAAUUCCAUGUUUUUUGAUCCAUAGCUUGUCAUAUAGUAUAAUAUUAUAUCCCUGAUCUUAAUAUUGAAGCCAGAAGAAGUAGUAGGAUUUCACCAACUCUGCAAAUCAGAUCAUGCAGAUUAAAUUCAGUCCCAUGAAAUCCUGCCUUACAGCAGAAAUAUCUUCACUCUACUUACAUCCCAGAAAACAAUCCAGAGCAUGACCGAUGCUGGCUCCUUUCAACAUUGAUGUUAGGUCCUUCCUUCCCGCUUUCUGCAGCUUUCUUUAGCAGGUACCAUACAGCACUGAUGUUUGCUCCAAGCCACCCCACUUAGUGAGACAGGUGUCCAUGUCCUGUCCAAACUCUGUCACAAUUUCUGCAAAUUCCCUAAAUCCUGCCUAAUCCCAAAGUCAUUGGGGCUUUGUAAUGAAGCCAAGAUGUGGUGGUGCCCCACACCCCUGCACCUGCAUGAUGAGGUGAAAGCAUGGACAUCCCUCAGCAUCUCUGUCAGCAUCUCAAAACUACAGCACCCAUUUCCCUGAUAUAAAUCCCAGCUAUAAAAAUGCAGAGUAGCCUGCUUGGGCAGAUGUCCCAUCUUGCUGACAAGCUGUCACAGAGGUGAGAACACUGGCAAGGGGAACUGUCUGACAGGGGUGCAGUGCCUGGCGGGUGCUGCUGUGGCUGUGUGACCUCCAGCACCAGGCACGGGUGAGGAUGGAGCUCUGCAAGACACUCUCUUCUCCCAUAGGCACCAAGUUCAGAUGUUUCUUUCUCCCUAUCAGUCACAGAGACUCUGCACUUUUUCUGACUGCAUCUUUGGCUUUUUUACCUUGCAUCUCUAAGAUCCUCUGCUGCUUUUCUCACUUUAGAACUCACAUCUUUGCAAAAGUGUAACCUGAAAAUUCCCUCUGAUUCUGAGUGCCUGCAAAUGUGUUUGGGAUGGUGUGACGCAGAUGGGGGCACACUUGGGAUUGAGGCAUCUACUGGUUAAGCUCUUUAGGUCCAUUCAGAAACUUAAAUAUUUGAACAGCUAUCUCAAUGAAGGGCAAGGGGUAACACCCCUCUGUUUUUCAGAAAAGAAAAUGUUUUCAGGCUGCAAUGUUUUUCUAAACCCUAUUAACCAUACUUCCUAGUGAAGUUAGAUAGCCUGCAGAUUAAAGUUCAAGAAAGUGUAUUUGCUGAACCCAUGAAUAUAUGAACAUACUUUAGGGUAUUGAUUUGCUGUCAUCAGCUACUGAAAACCAGAAAAGCAUUUUACUUUAAAAAAACAGAGGUUUAAUAACUUGCUAUACCUUUAGACCUCCUCCCUGAGUUAAAAAUUAACCACUGUAGUUAACGAAUGUCUAUCAGCUAGCAGCAAGUUCACUCCAAAUAUUCAAAUAGAAUUGACAUCUGAUCCACAGCAAUUUCAGCUCACGUGAUUACAGACAUCUACCAGAUCAGAUUCAGGUUCAACUUUCACUGUUCACUGCCACUAGGCUAAGAUUUACUCUUGACCCAAAUUUUUCAGCUGCUCACAUAGAAAAGAAAUGGAUAGAUUCAAAUUCAAAACAGGACUAUGUACCUAUGGUAUAAAUAAUAUCUAAGAAUUUGUGACAUCAAAAAAGAAGUAGAAAAUCUACAUAUCAAGACAAGCACAUGAAGGAUUUAAAGAAAAGCCCUAAAUAUUUUACAUAUACACAGAUGUCACAGUAAACAUACUCCAAAGAGCACUAAGGGAACUAGUUAAUGGAAUGUUCAAGAAGAACAUCUUGUACAUUUUACUGAAAGAACAUUACAUUGUCUGGAAGAACAGUUUGAAGGAAUGAUUAAUACUAUCACUGGCUUCUGUGAAGAAUGAUUGCGGGAGUCUAAUUUGAUUAACCAAAAUGGCAUACACUGUAUCUAGAUGGUAUUAAAGAUAGUAUAAAGAAAAGAACGCUGUAUAUAUGCAUAAAAAGGGAGUAUUAAUUACCAGUUAAAAUACAUAUUAAAAUGGAUAAGAAGCACUUGAAAUGCAUCAAUUUUUUUUUUUUUAAUAGCUAAGGUUUUUUGGGUUGUACAAUAAUCAUUAAAUGAAGUUACAUAGUAAUACAUGGAAUGUCUGUUUCUUUCAUAUACCAAAUCAGAGCUGUAGAGAUUAUUGCAAUAACUAUAACAUGUUUUCUAGUGUGAAAUAAAUAAGCCUUAAGAGUCCCAUUAUUUCAUGUCUCUGUGUGGGGAUUUAUGCACAUCCUUCUCAGCACCAUUAGCAGAGAUAAAACUUAUGUAUGCAAAUCCUAAGAUAGCACAUGGAGAAUAGACUGGUAAAUUUUGCAGAAUAGCUAUUACCCUGAAAUUAUAGGGAAAACACAAAAAGGAACUCUCUGGUAAGAAAUUAAGUAUUCUGGGCUUGAUAUUUAUGCCCAGAGCACAGCAGAUGGGAAAAAGUAUAAAUUGUAAGAUUAAGAUGUAAAAUAGUACAAUAGAGAAUGUUUGUCCCUGUACUCCUGUCAUGGGCUGGCAAUGCCAGAGGGCAUUGCAGAUAUUAACUGAAAGCAUGUUAAUCUGAAGGUGUGCUGAGUGGGAACAAAGAGCUGUAUUCAGAAGAUGUGCCAUAGGUACCUGAUUCAGUAGCUGGAGUUGCUCUGGGAUUUAAGGUCAGGAGGGUGAUGAGUGAACCAAGCUCUUGACCAGGGCUGGCACACCCCAGUUUCCUGCAGAAGCAAUGGAGAGGCACAAGUAUAGUAAAAUUAGGUAACCCAACUCCUCCUUAUAUAUUGCAGGAUAUAGUUUUAGUCUGUGGAAAGUUAUGUUACAGAAAAUAUUAGAGGAAUAAAGAUAAAUGUGCUAAGCACCCCCAUCUCUGUAUAGUCUGUUCCCCAGAGUAGUUCAUGAAGCUCAGGAUUCCCAGUACCACUCUGGGCUUGGGGCACAUGUUGCUUUGCUUGUGCAGUCUCUCCCACUGCUAGGCUUUGCUGUUUAUGGGUAACCACUUAGCAGAGCCCCUCUAUACCUCUUUUUUCAUUUCUCAUUGCCCCUUACUCUGGAGUUGAGCAAUGGCUAAGAUCUUUUACCUUAUUUUUGCUUUUAGGAUAGCUUUACAUUCAAGAUCUCACCUUGCCUGUGAAUCAAACUGUGCAUGCCGUUCUUUUGUGUACGCCUUAGAUUUUUUUCCAAGAGAUGAUGGGACACAUUUUAUUCACCUGCAACUGUACACAGAGCUGGGCAAAUACUGCAUGUGUCUUUCUGGAUGACAAGACAAUAGUUGAUGCCAGAAAGCAUCUCUGACACCUUCUCCUUUAUUAAUUAUGGUUUUAUGUAAUUAAUGUAAAUAAUGUUGAUUUAGUAUAUCAUGUAAUUGUAGUACGUUGUUAAUUGUAUCAUCUGGAGAGUUACUGAAUAUGAAAAAAGAUGGUGACUUUGUUUUCCUGAUCAACCAAAUGAUUUUAAACAAUAUAUGUUUAGACAACCUCUGAUUUAGGGACGGUGGGAAUGUUGUUGAUGUCAAGUUAGUUUCCUGGAAGUUCCUGUUCUGCUGUGAAAAUUAAAGCCGAGGAACCACAAUAGCCCUACUAGAUUUUCUAUCAUUAUAUCUGUAACAGAAUUAAUCUUGUAAUAGACUAUAGGGCACAUUGACAGGUACCAGAGCUCAGUUGUACCGGGAAUGGUGCAAAAAAAUGACAAAAGGAAACUCCUUGUUCCUGAGCUGCUAAAUAAAUAUCCUGAUAUGCAACACAGCUAAGCGGAGCAGUUAACAGUUUCAGUAACUAUUCAUCCCUCUAGUAUAUAACAUUAAUUAAUAUUUAUUUUAAAAGUAAUAAUUUUAUUUGGCAAGUGCCAAUGGUCUUUCCAGUUUUUCUUUAGCAAGAAUAAUUUCAAAGUUCAGAUAAUAUCUACUUCCCUACUGCUUCUGUUAAUGGAGAGUGCGCCUACUAUCGUUUUGAGUUACGAAAUUUAAUUGCCCAGAGUGGCAGAUACUUAUUUUCAACAGCUGCUGAACAAACUCUUUAAAACGCUAUAAUUGUAUAUACAAGAAUAUUUAAUGUAUGCCUUGUGGCAUUAAAAAUGUAAGUGUAUGUGAGAGAGAAAAAUCUCAUGGGCCUUCUGAAACAUCUUCAUUUGGGGAGGGACACAUCUUGUGCUUUAUUCUGUUCUCCCAUUUAUUAUAGACAGAAGUACUUCAUUUACAUGGACUUUUCCUCAUUUGCACAAGUAGCAGUGAAAGACGUCUUCAACUCUUCCUUUCAUGGGCUUCUUUUUCAAUGAACAUGAACACCUGAAUACCACGCCUUCUUUAGUAGUCACUGUGUAGUGUUUGUUUGUGUGAGAAUCACUAUGUAUUUUCUCCCUAGAAAUAUUUUCAUCUCAUAGUUUGUAGUUCUACAGACAAAUGAACUUUUUUCUCUUACAAGAGAUACAGCCUAAUAUCUGCUACCACAGACUUACUUGAUAUCCCAUCAUAUGUUGUGCAAGUGACCUAUUUGAAUAGGUUUUUGACUACAGCAGACAAAUACUAUGAUAAAAUCUUCACAAUAAGGCAUACAGAAAUUAUCUACUGCAGUAGAUAAUGCAUUGAUUUCUGGGUGGUGGCUAGGGAUUGCAGCACUUACUCUCCUCCAUAAUUCCCAGAGGGCUCCCAAAGUUGAUGGCUCCCAUCAGUCUGGCUGAGGUUCACUAUAAGCUGAAGAAAAAUCCAGCAAAGCUUAGCAUGAAAUAGCUGUGGGCAGAAAAUAGUACAGUAGCAAAUAAAGGUUUUAACCAUUUGACUAUUAGGUAAAUCAAUCAAAAAGUUUGUACUACCAUUAGCAAUCUGGACUAAGAAGCAGUUUGCACUAAAUAUCAGGAGCUGAAAACUGAGACAUGACUUGUGGUACUCCACAGACGAAAGAACUGAGACCUUUUGCCCUGGAGGGAUAGAUAUACGAAAGAAAAGUAGUUAUCUGAUAUCAAAGAGUACUGUCUAGAUUACAGCAGCAAGAUAAAGCUGCUGAAGUGCUGAAACUCUCUGAAUUAAAAAAAAAAAAAAAGGCGUUUGGCCUACUCUGUGGGGGCAUGCCUUUUCCAUUAUACAGUUCACAGAGUUAUAGUUUAGCUACCUAGGCAUGCCCUCUUUUCAGUGAUAGAGUCAGUGACUUUCCUAACCUAGGUCAUAUAAAUGCUGCCAGGGGAUCCAUUAAGUGCACAGUGUAAUUCCCAACGUUCCCAGAGAAGAACUGUUUUUUUUCCUUAGCUGUAUAUUUGCUGUCGAUGAACUUCGGCAUUGAGGGACUUCGAGGAUAACAGCUCUAAAAUUAACUCAAAGGUUCAACAGAGAGCCAAGUAAAGAUUUCUUGCUUAGUAGAAGUUCUGAAAAUAGAAAGAGAUGUCUUAAACAGGGUGUUUUCGCUGAUCAGCAACCACAGGUUUCCUGUCCCCUUCCGCUUUGAAGAAUCCUGAUAGAAAAGAAAUCAUCCAGAUGAGCUUGUGAAAAAAAAAACAAACCAAACCAAACCAAAACAAAAAAAACCAAAACAACAAAGCAAACAAAC